rnacentral:rRNA from 1 species
GUGGGGAAUCUUGCGCAAUGGGCGAAAGUCUGACGCAGCCAUGCCGCGUGAAUGAUGAAGGUCUUAGGAUUGUAAAAUUCUUUCACCGGGGACGAUAAUGACGGUACCCGGAGAAGAAGCUCCGGCUAACUUCGUGCCAGCAGCCGCGGUAAUACGAAGGGGGCUAGCGUUGCUCGGAAUUACUGGGCGUAAAGGGCGCGUAGGCGGACAGCUUAGUCAGAGGUGAAAGCCCAGGGCUCAACCUUGGAAUUGCCUUUGAUACUGGCUGUCUUGAGUUUGGGAGAGGUGAGUGGAACUCCGAGUGUAGAGGUGAAAUUCGUAGAUAUUCGGAAGAACACCAGUGGCGAAGGCGACUCACUGGCCCAAUACUGACGCUGAGGCGCGAAAGCGUGGGGAGCAAACAGGAUUAGAUACCCUAGUAGUCC